GACUACAAGGGUAUCUAAGCCUGUUUGCUCCCCACGCUUUCGCGCCUCAGCGUCAGUUAAUGUCCAGCAAGUCGCCUUCGCCACUGGUGUUCCUCCUAAUAUCUACGCAUUUCACCGCUACACUAGGAAUUCCACUUGCCUCUCCAUCACUCAAGAAAUACAGUUUCAAAUGCAGUUUGGGGGUUGAGCCCCCAGAUUUCACAUCUGACUUGCAUUCCCGCCUACGCGCCCUUUACACCCAGUAAAUCCGGAUAACGCUUGCUCCCUACGUAUUACCGCGGCUGCUGGCACGUAGUUAGCCGGAGCUUAUUCUGCAGGUACCGUCAUUUGUUUCGUCCCUGCCAAAAGAAGUUUACAACCCGAAAGCCUUCUUCCUUCACGCGGCGUUGCUGGGUCAGGCUUGCGCCCAUUGCCCAAUAUUCCCCACUGCAGCCCCCCGUAGG
rnacentral:rRNA from 1 species